GAAAGGGAUUUGGGUGCUGAAUCCCAGAAUCAGGCGGCCAUGGAAGAGCCUGACAUCCAUCUGACAUGGACUGAGAAGAACAAUGCAAAGACUAGAACAAGUGAGAUGUUUUACAGCUCCAGAAAGCUAAGCAAACCACCUCACAGACUGAGAACAUAAGGAUCGACACCGUCUUAACAAGGAUGACGUUGGGGCUUUGAUAGAUUGCUCCACGAGGAGCAGUAGUCUUAAUGCCAUGAAGAUUUGCCAGAAUAAUAACCAGCGACCUUAGCAAGUAAAACCCAAGUCUCGGAAUCCGAAUGUGUUCAUCAGUAUGCUCCCUGGCACUAAUGGUAACAACUUCCCGGAGCUAGAGCUUGGUAUGAAACAGGAAUCUCCAGCACGAGAUAAAGCAGUAGCUUAUGGACUGAUGUACUACCUUCAGCCACCACCAUGUGCAUCUAAGGGAGAGAAGAGCUGUACCAGACAUUUCUCCACAGCCCACAGAGUGCCCUUGAUACUCACUCACUCCCUUUGGUUCACUGACACCUCGAGAGAGGACAGAAGCACAAUUACCAUGUCUCACUGGAAGAGGACUCAAGACAGACACCAUAUUUGGAUCUCCAUAGCAUUCUUGGUUUUUCAGUGUUUCAGAAACUUGCCUCUGUGGCUCCCUUUUCCUUCUGCAGGACUUCCACCCACAAGUCAGCCUAGAUACUGCAGCUGAAGGAUAACCAGCACUGUGUGGCAAAACCAGCUGGAAGAGCAGGAGAGGGUUACGAAGAACGGGAAUUUCAUCUCUCCGUACAGGAAAAAAAAUACGCUGGUUUUCUAACAAGAACAACCCUGCAAAGAUAUUGAUG